rnacentral:rRNA from 1 species
UACGUAGGGGGCGAGCGUUGUCCGAAGUUACUGGGACGGUAAAGCGCGCGUAGGCGGGUUGGCAAGUCAUGCGUGUGAAAGCCCGGAGCUCAACUCCGGAGGGUCGGUGGAUACUGCCAGUCUUGAAGUGGCUAGGGGGAGAAUGGAAUUACCGGUGUAGCGGUGAAAUGCGUAGAGAUCGGUAGGAACACCAGUGGCGAAGGCGGUCUCCUGGGGCCCACUUGACGCGUGAUGCGCGAAAGCCUGGGGGAGCAAACGGG